AGAGUUUGAUCCUGGCUCAGGAUAAACGCUGGCGGCGUGCCUAACACAUGCAAGUCGAACGCCCUCUGGCAACAGAGGGAGUGGCGGACGGGUGAGUAACACGUGAGUACCUACCCCCAAGUGCGGAAUACCGGCGAGAAAUCGCCGACAAUACUGCAUAGCAUUCGCAAGAAUGAAAGCCCGGCAACGGGCGCUCGGGGAUGGGCUUGCGCCCGAUUAGCUAGUUGGUGAGGUAAAAGCUUACCAAGGCUGCGAUCGGUAGCUGGUCUGAGAGGAUGAUCAGCCACACUGGGAUUGAGAACGGCCCAGACUCCUACGGGGGGCAGCAGUGAGGAAUUUUCGUCAAUGGGGGCAACCCUGAACGAGCAACGCCGCGUGCAGGAAGAAGGUCUUCGGAUCGUAAA
rnacentral:rRNA from 1 species